rnacentral:tRNA from 1 species
GGAGAGUUGUCAGAGUGGUCGAAUGUGUCGCUCUCGAAAAGCGAUGAAGUGAAAGCUUCCGGCGGUUCGAAUCCGCCACUCUCCGCCA